AAGAGUUUGUUCGGGUUUCUCCAUAAGCUGUAUAGAAAAACCUCAAUGAACUCUUUGG
rnacentral:pre_miRNA from 1 species